rnacentral:lncRNA from 1 species
UUGCUGAAUUCUUAUGUUAUUCUAAAGUUCCGCGUAACUUUGUUUACUUUAUACCUCAAAAAUUUGUCUCGCCGAAACAGUUAUUUCAAUAAAAUUCAUUAUCAAAUAGCUUGGGAAGUAACACAAUAAAAUUACAUCAUCGCUUAGAAAUGUUAACGCAAUUUUAAGUGUAAAAUUAAAACAAUUUGUUGUAAAACAUGCCAAGUUUAAAAGCAUAUUCCCUAACAUAGCAAGAGAUACAUAAAAUAAUUUUUAUAUUAUCAUCUGCAUAAAAGGUCGAAAUUUUAGUAACUUACGUCAUCCAUCAAAAAAUUAAUUUAAAACAUUAAAAAAAAAUAAAGUUAAAAAUAUAAAUGCAUUAAAAAUUGAGUUAUAGUGAUAAAAUCACACGGAUGACGUAGGAAUCUGAUAGAAUAGACAUUCAAUGAUAAGUGUUCUAAAUUUCAACCAUCAACCAUGUAGCUAUGUUAGAGAAUCUUGGUUGGCCCAAGACAAAAAAUCGUCAAAAACAGAAAAGUCAUCCAAAAUCAUUUAAAAUAUUUUAACAAUGUUUAUUUUUAUUUCGCUUAAGGUAAAUAUUUAUUUAACGAAGAAAGAUAAUUCUUGUAAAUUUUUUUAAUUCGAAGAUUAAAAUAUUUAUAGAAAAAAAAACAUUACUUUAUAGUUAUUGAAUUUUUAUACUUUAUAUGCCGAAAUUUUUAAAAAACUUUUUAUGCGGAAACUGUUUUUGCUAAACUCGUGACGUAAGGCCCAAUUUUACAUUGCGUGAAACAGCCGUGACUGAGGGAUUUACCUCAGAGACAGCUUCCAUCUAACGGUGACAUUCUAAGAUACUAUCAGUAUAUCCUUUGCGAAUCACAGGUUAAAUACAAACCUACUUCUACUAAUGUUGAUUGCAAAUUAAAAUAGAAAUCCAAGGAUCUUGUUUGUGAAAAUGGUGUUUGUACUGAUUCUGACAAUUCUAGCUUGUUGAGAACGAUUAAAAAAAUUUAGGAUAAGGUUGAGUUUGGCAAGAAAUUUGUGAUUUCUGGGUACAAUAUACAGACUGAAAUCAUUAGACUUAAUUAAUAAUACAAAAAAUUGAUUAAAUUGUUAGAGAAAGAUUUUUUCACCGAAUCCUAUCAGCUUUUUGACAUCUCGAAUUUUGAAAAAGAUAUUCUUGCUGAUAGAUUGAGAACAGAUGAUGCCAAGCUGGAAGAUAUAAAAACAAGCUAGAUAAGUUGAGAGAUAAAGAAUUAGAGGGACAGAAAAACUUAAAAGAUAUUAAUGAUGUUUUGUUGUCACAUGACUCCAUGGCAGAAGAGAUUCAAAUCUGCAGUGAGGAAGAAAAGUCAAACGAAGACUCUAAAAUCAGCGAGGAAGAAGAUUUUCUGGGUAACGGUCCAAAACGCAGUCCAGUCAGUUGCAACAACAAUUAAAGCAGCAGGAAACAGCCAAGUACACAUGCAAGUGAUUGUUAUGAGGAUUGCAAAACUUUUAAAUAUCAGAAACUGAAGAAAGCAUUGAUAAUCAGCAGAUAUCAAAAAAGCGCAAAAGUACUGAUUAUACAACUCUUUUAAAGUUGAGGAAGAAUUUUAUGUUAAUGUUAAUGCAAAAGGUACGAAUAUUGACAGUUAUACAAAAAGAUUAUGAAUGUGGUACUGCAAGUAUAUUCAAUUGAUUAUGCAAAUUUAUAUUUUAGUUAAACCAUCACCACUUCCACAGCCACCUUGUCUCAAGCAUUAAAUCGCAUUCUAAGAUAUCUUUAUUCAAAUUAUGUGUGACUACUUUACCAAAAGACUCUAGACCAAAUACCAAUCAAGUAAGAUGUCUAAACCUAUAUCUUUUAUAUAGAACUCCUUUGUUUUUAGAUGAACCUGUUAAUUUUAUGACUUAUGAACAUAUUUAGCAAUGCAAUCCUUUUAGGAUAGACUUUUUAAAAUCAAAUUUACAAUGUUAGUAAAUUUUUAUUUAAAAUAACUUUGUAUACAUAAUAUAUCUAUAUAGUUAUUCACAUAAUAGCUAACCAAUCAGUACUUGCAAAGUCUCCUUUUCUGUAAGCCCAAAAAUUGAGUUCUAAAAUACCAUUAUCCACAUAACUACUAUAUCAAAGUACAAUCUAAUGGAUUGAUCAAUGAAACUGUCGGAAUCUCCACAACUUUUCAGUUAAAUAGAAAGUUUCAAUUAAACAGGAUACUGAGUGUGCCUACUGCUCCUCAAGACAAUGACUAAUGGGAGUUAUCAAACUUUAUAUAUAUAUAUAUAUGUAUAUAUAUAUACAUACAUACAUACAUACAUACAUACAUACAUACAUACAUACAUACAUACAUACAUACAUACAUACAUACAUACAUACAUACAU